AGAACGAACGCUGGCGGCAUGCCUAAUACAUGCAAGUCGAACGAACUCUUCGGAGUUAGUGGCGCACGGGUGCGUAACGCGUGGGAAUCUGCCCUUGGGUUCGGAAUAACAGUUGGAAACGACUGCUAAUACCGGAUGAUGACGAAAGUCCAAAGAUUUAUCGCCCAGGGAUGAGCCCGCGUAGGAUUAGCUAGUUGGUGAGGUAAAGGCUCACCAAGGCGACGAUCCUUAGCU
rnacentral:rRNA from 1 species